rfam:Bacillus marisflavi strain JCM 11544 super9, whole genome shotgun sequence.
ACCUUAUAAAGAGUCGGGGAAGGAAUCUGGUCCAACGAUCCCGCAGCAACCUCCAAGUGGAAGGUGCUCAUUCCAGCAGGCAACUUCAGCCUGGCAGAUAAGGG